GGUCCUGUAGCUCAGUUGGUUAGAGCACCUGACUCAUAAUCAGGGAGUCACUGGUUCAAGCCCAGUCUGGACCA
rnacentral:tRNA from 1 species